rnacentral:rRNA from 1 species
ACAAGCGGUGGAGCACGUGGUUUAAUUCGAUGCAAACCGAAGAACCUUACCUGGGUUUGACAUGUACGUGGUACGGAUAUGAAAGUUGAAGGACUCCGCUUUCGGGUGGAGAGCGUACACAGGUGCUGCAUGGCUGUCGUCAGCUCGUGUCGUGAGAUGUUAGGUUAAGUCCCGCAACGAGCGCAACCCCUGCAUUCAGUUGCCAUCGGGUGAAGCCGGGCACUCUGGAAGGACUGCCAUCGACAAGAUGGAGGAAGGUGGGGACGACGUCAAGUCAUCAUGGCCCUUAUGUCCAGGGCGACACACGUGCUACAAUGGCCGGCACAACGGGAAGCGAGUUCGCGAGGACGAGCGGAUCCCUUAAAGCCGGUCGCAGUUCGGAUUGAAGUCUGCAACUCGACUUCAUGAAGCUGGAAUCGCUAGUAAUCGCAGAUCAGCCAAGCUGCGGUGAAUACGUUCCCGGGCCUU